rnacentral:rRNA from 1 species
GAUGAACGCUAGCGGGAGGCCCAACACAUGCAAGCCGAGCGGUAGAGUUUCUUCGGAAACUUGAGAGCGGCGCACGGGUGCGUAACACGUGUGCAACCUACCUUUAUCUGGGGGAUAGCCUUUCGAAAGGAAGAUUAAUACCCCAUAAUAUAAUGAUUGGCAUCAAUUAUUAUUGAAAACUCCGGUGGAUAGAGAUGGGCACGCGCAAGAUUAGAUAGUUGGUGAGGUAACGGCUCACCAAGUCAAUGAUCUUUAGGGGUCCUGAGAGGGAGAUCCCCCACACUGGUACUGAGACACGGACCAGACUCCUACGGGAGGCAGCAGUGAGGAAUAUUGGACAAUGGGUGAGAGCCUGAUCCAGCCAUCCCGCGUGAAGGAUGACGGCCCUAUGGAUUGUAAACUUCUUUUGUACAGGGAUAAACCUACCCUCGUGAGGGUAGCUGAAGGUACUGUACGAAUAAGCACCGGCUAACUCCGUG